rnacentral:rRNA from 1 species
AUGCUAGCAAAAGCAUUUGAAGUAAAAGAUCUUGGGCAUCUAAAUUACUUUCUAGGAAUUGAAGUUGCAUAUUCAUCACAAGGUAUAUAUCUCUCACAGCGGAAAUAUGUUCUUGAUUUACUUGUUGAGACUGGAAUGCUAGACUGUAAACCUGCCUCUACACCAAUUGAGGCAAACCAUCGAAUUAAGGCAGAUAUGGGUGAUCCUGUUGAUAAAGGUCAGUAUCAACGGCUGGUAGGGAGACUAAUCUAUUUGUCCCAUACUAGGCCAGAUAUUGCAUAUGCUGUGAGUAUUGUGAGCAGAUAUAUGCAUGACCCAAGAUCUACACAUUUAAAUGCUGCAUAUAGAAUCUUGAGAUACCUAAAGGGAUGCCCUGGGAAAGGAAUUCUAUUCUCAAAUUCUGGACAUCUCAGUAUAGAGUGUUACACAGAUGCUGACUGGGCUGGGUGUCUAGAUGAUAGAAGGUCCACUUCUGGCUACUGCAUCUUUGUUGGAGGAAAUUUGGUUAGCUGGAGGAGAAAAAAACAAAGUGUAGUGGCCAGGUCUACUGCUGAAGCAGAGUUACGGUCCAUGGUCUCUGGAAUAUGUGAAUUAGUAUGGCUACGCUUACUACUUACUGAACUACAAUUGUACAAAGGGGGCCUCUUCGGAUCUACUGUGAUAAUCAAGCCACAAUAA